AACGUAGGAGACAAACGUUAUCCGGAGUUACUGGGCGUAAAGGGCGUGUAGGCGGUUUGUUAAGUCUGGCGUGAAAGCUCUCGGCUAAACCGGGAGAGGUCGUUGGAUACUGGCAAACUAGAGGAUGGUAGAGGCGUGUGGAAUCCGGGUGUAGUGGUGAAAUGCGCAGAUAUCAGGAGGAACACCGGUGGCGAAGGCGGGUCUCUGGGCAAUAACUGACGCUGAGGAGCGAAAGCGUGGGGAGCGAACAGG
rnacentral:rRNA from 1 species